AUUACUGUAGCACACGGUCUCAUCGGUCCGCUCCAGAUCGGACAGUUCUCGGGUCCACCUAGCUCAUUUGUCUGUGCGGCUGUUUACCAGCAGAAUGGAGCGCUCUCUCUCUCUCUCUCUCUCUCGUGUCUUCCUGACUUCUCUCCCCCUUCUCAAUCUACUUCAAUGGAAGGCGAAAUGGAGUGAUCCGAAGAGGCCGACGACCUCGCGAUCUCAUCGGCCUCUGACAGCAUGUUACCAUUUGCAUCUAUGAGACGAUGAUGGAUGGUGUCAAGCAGCCAGAUGUCCUAGUGACAUGAGGGCUAGCAUCUUUGCUCGCAAGGUGUUUGACAAAAUAUCCAAAUGCCGUAAGGGUGGGAGACAUUGUUGCUGUGGGCAUCGAUGAUGGACCAUGUGCUACCCGAGGAGCCUCUGUGCGUUGAUGGCCGCAUACCAAGGUUCAGCAUGUCUUCCGUAGGCGGCGCUGUUACACGUGUGUGGCUGCCAACAAUUGGCAGAGUGGGUGAGAUCGCAACCUGUGCAAGAAAGUUUUAUAUAAAGUUCUUUGGUGUAGAGUGGGAUUUGUCCUGAACUAUAGCAAAACUCAUCACUGUUGGCAGUGAUUCUAUAGUCUGUUAUGUCCGCUAAGUGGUAGGGAAUUGCAGGCUGAUUUCCAUGGCGAAGGUGGGUGCUUUUGUGCUCUAAUGAAUGCUUAUGUUGAGGUUGGUCAUUUGUCUAAUGUUUUACUUUCAGUGUGGUUUUUCAAUUUGAAUCCUAAUGUUUUCAAGGUUAAGUCAUACCACCAGGAGUUCUUAUUAUGUAUGUAAUACUAGCUUCCCCAUUUCAACUCCCUGCAAGAUCAAUCUUAAAACCAUUAUACUUAGUCAGAUUUAAUUCUAAUUUCAUAAGAAUACUUUUCCCCCUCCAUUAUAAUUAAUACUAUUUUCUAUAUAGUUUUUUUGUGUGAUAAGGCUGUUGUUACUAUUUUUAUUAGUUGUUAUUUACCUAGUUGUAAACCCUGAAUAACACUUUUUUCCCUGAAGUUCUUAUGAACAUUUGUUCAUUUUAGUUUAAUAUAGUGUCAUAUUGCACAUGGAUAUAGGAUACUAAUCGGUACUUUGAUAUGUUUUUUUACUUUUAGGGUAUUCGGAAGAGCUGGGUGCUGUAGCUAGCCAACUCUUCCUGCAGCAUCCGAGGCAGGGGAAUUUAAAAAAAAAAAAGUAACCUGGCAAGCAGCUGUAGCUGCAGGCGCAGCAAGUAGUAUGAUUAGGCAGUUUUGCUUUGGUGGAUAUUGACCCCCACAAAUUUGUAUGUUAGUAAUCAAUUGAAAAUAUACUAAAUAUUUGAUCAUACUGUUCUGAGUUCUACCACAAGUCUACUUUCUGCUAUGUUUUUGUGUGACCAUAUUGUUCUAUUUUUUUUCUAUGCAUUUCCAUCUGCGACUACACAUUCUGUCGACCAUUUCAGUUGUUUUGUUGCCUUUCAUAUGUUUAGUUAUAUAUUAUUAUAGCUCUGCCUCCUUUUUAUAUUCUUAUAUUAUAAUUUCUCAAUAUAAGGGUUUAUACCUAAAAGUUUUUAUGUAAUGUUUAUUGUGUUUUUUAUACUGAAGUCUAGGAUACUGCAUUUGUGUUUCACUAAAUUUUAUGUUAGUGUGCUUUUCAAAUUGAUAUAUGCCAUCAUUUAUGUUUUGUAUAUCAUCAAAUUUUGAAUAUAUGCAGGGUGUGGUGUUAUGGUUUUGAUGUGACCUGUCUACCUGUCUGUGGGCAAGCUUCUUGGUGCUCAUGAUAACCUUAGAAAGUAUUGCAACUUGGGAACUUGGGAGUUUACUCUAGGUUGUUGCCUAGCUUGUUAUACUGGUUAAUGUGGUUAUGUGAAGCUGUAGACUAUUGUCUGUUAAUGAUGUUGAUAGUAUCUUGCAUCCUUGAUCUAGCAACACAUUGAUCUAGCCGUAGUAAUAGGUCCUGUUGGUAUGCAUUUGUUUGAAGGUCACUUUGUAAGGUCGUGUUGUUGUCUAAUUGUUGCCCUGAUUGAAAAGCAUAGAUACCUGGUUUGAUCUGUUGGUGUUUAUGUUUGAUUUGUUUGUGCUGGUGAUUUGUGUGUGUUGAGCGGAGCGGAUCAAAUUCGGUGGGGAUUGUUUGGGUUGUGCAGUUCCCAUCCAAUGCCGCAUCAUCAAUGGGGAUUGGUUUGGGUUGUACAGUGCCCAUUGCAUGAUGCAUCAUGUGUUUAAAAAAUGCAUACUCUAAUCCCGGUGGAAUUGGUGAUUUCUGAAACUAUAGUUUAAUAAUGUAAAUAUGACUUUAUAUUUCUAGUACUUCUUACUAGCAGUGUGAUUUUUUUAAUUUAUGUAUAAAGUUUGUGUGUAACUGUGUAUAUGUUUCCUCCUACAAUGUACCUUUCUCACAUGUAUUUUCAUUUUGUUAUCCUUACAUAUAUUCUUCCUAGUUCUUUUAGUUCAGAAUAAAAAUUAAAGUUUAUAGUGAUAAUUUAUAUUAUAGGAUAUGUCGUCGUGACGUUUUUUGCUAGAAGCUUAGUUUCCAUUUAAAAAACUUUCAAGCAGUAUACACAACAUUACACUAGAAGCAUGUCUGCAAUUUCAAUAUAGUUGUACUGUAACUUUUUAUAAUAUAAUUAUUAAUCAUAUGUGAACUGAUAUUGUGUUCUAAAAAAUCUACAAUUUUAUGAUCAUGUACUAACAAAUUUUUUUUUUUGCUUCACUAGGAGGCUGCUAGAAGUUGCAGCUAGCUAUCAAUCAUAGUCUAGCACUCCCCUUAGUGAGAUAUACCUAUCCAUCUAUUAUAAGAAAGGUACCAAAGGUUGAUCUUCCAAAUUUGUGCUCUCAACAGUUUGCUUUUGAUUUCAGUUAGCAGAAUCAGAACUUGUUACUGAUAUCAAUUGUUUUCCUCUGCUCCAUCUUCUUCUAAACCACAGCUUGCAGUUUAAGGAUUCAUAUGUUUCCCUUCUAAUUUUGGUUUUGCAUAAAUCUACUCUAGUCUUAUUUCUCAGGUAUAAAACUUCAUUUUUGAUCUUAAUGAAUACGCAUCCUUUGUACCAUGCAUUCCACUUCUCUCCUCAAUAGCUAUAUUUUUGGGGCAGCAUCUAUUUUUUUCAUCCAUUUGUUCAAGGUGCCCAAAUCGAGCAAUUUGCUUUAAGCCAUGCAAAAAGUUACAUGUAUCAUAUAUAAAUUACAUAGUUAGCACUUCUGUAAUUUAAUUAUGCUUGAACUGUAUUUUUUUCUUAUAUUUAAUUUUGUUGACCUAGAUUAUCACAUCCAUUUGUUUGUCGAAUACCGAAAGAAACUAGACUUUGUUGUGACCUGUAUAUAGAGUUUACUAGUGGAAGUUCUUGUGUAAUUUUCGAGUCAAUUUUUUUUUCUGGUGACAUUUUGAGCUAUUGUUUUUAGAAUCAUCAUAUAUAUCUGAUAUAUUUGUGGAAUUGUGGUGCUAGAGUUAAAUUGAUGCACAUAGCUAUUCAGUUAUUCAUAUUGCACAAAUAUUGAAGCUUUGGACAAUAUUUUUAUUUCCUACGGCUUCAUUGUAUUAUAGAGAUUAAUUAUUUUAGCAUCAUUAGUAUUUAAGCUGCCUAUUGGAGGCAUGUGCUCUACAUCUCUAUAUUGUGUAGUGUUUACAACGUCUGAUCUCUAAGUACACUAAAAGUAUCAUCAACAUCCUUUGAUCACAUAACUGUUGCAAAUCAAUUUAAUUCAUUUUCCUAAUUUAGUUCUAGUUUCAUCGUACUAUAAGCUGUGAAAAUCAUAGUAAAUUCUAGUGUAAUUUUUGUCUAAAUACUUGAGAUGUCACAAAAUUGUCAAUAUCAGUGUAACUUUUUUUGUCUAAAUAUUUGAGGUCAUAGAAUUGUCACAUAAUUUCUAAUGUAAUUUUUUGUCUAAAUAUUGGCAGGGUUUGAAAGGUCGUACAAAACUGUUUUAGAUAGUUUAAUUACAAAUUACUAUUGUCAUUUACUAGAAUUACACCCUUAUGUAGCAGUGUAAGUUUUUUGUUUUUUUUUGUUAUAAUUUCUUGUGUUUUUGUGUUAUCAUUUUCCUAUACCUGUGACAUACAGUUAGCUGAGGAUGAUUUCUAGAGUGAUGUGAAAUGAGGAUGUUUAAUGUCAUAUGUAUUUGGUGGUUACAGAAUUAAUGUUUACUAAGCAAUCAUUGGUUUUUCUCCAAAUCCCAAUAUAACUCCAGCUAAUGUUUAGGUUAGUAAGUACAACUGAUGGUUGGAGGUCUGAAUGUUUUUAACCCAGACAACACCGAGACCAUUCGUCCUGAUGCUUAAUGUACCACGCUAAUGGUUACCGAUAGAAGAUUGGGUUGAUAAGAGAUACAUUCCCGAUCCUGAUGACAGCCAUAUGUAUCUUUGCUCCAAAUUGUAGAUGCUUUAUUAGUACUAGGGUUUUAAUUUUACACCAAUUUCAUGGUAAUCGGCAUUGGCAUGGAAGUUUCAUCAUCUUCUCUCAGAUUAUUUUCUAAGCUCACAAAGACUUAGCAUAAAAGUGUCAUUAGGACAAUAUGAGCCUAGUAGACUUUACUGUUACAAAUGGACUUUCUGAAUGAUCUUUUGUUACUUCUGAUCUUUGACUCAGAUUGUUCUUUCGCAGGGUUUUGAUGAUAUUCCUAAGAAAAUUCCUGAACCUGGUGCAAAGAAGUUGCAUAUUUUGAUUAUUCAAUUGUAUAUGCAUCUCCUCUGAUUCGAUGAUCAACAGAUGUUUAGUUUGUCAGUUUUACAACUUAUUCACAUCAGCUAGUUCUGUUGGUUUAAACUAUAUUCAAAAUUAUUUGUGGCACAUGUAAUUAGCAUAGACGUGUUUUUGAAGCAUCAACUUGCUUAUCCAGUAUCAAGAAAUUGUGGUGAAUUAUUUCUGACUACUGAUUUUCAAUUUUUUAUAAUGGAACCUGUGACCCUAUUUUGGCCA